rnacentral:rRNA from 2 species
UUGGAGGGCAAGUCUGGUGCCAGCAGCCGCGGUAAUUCCAGCUCCAAUAGCGUAUAUUAAAGUUGUUGCAGUUAAAAAGCUCGUAGUUGAAUUUCGGGACCAAUUUGUUGGUCGUGCCUCGGUACGUACUGGUAUUAUUGGUUUCUCCCUUCUGAAGAACCUCGAUGCCAUUAAUUUGGUGUCGUGGGGAAUCAGGACUGUUACUUUGAAAAAAUUAGAGUGUUUAAAGCAAGCAUACGCUUGAAUACAUUAGCAUGGAAUAAUGAAAUAGGACGUUUGAUUCUAUUUUGUUGGUUUCUAGGAUCGACGUAAUGAUUAAUAGGGAUAGUUGGGGGCAUUAGUAUUCAAUUGUCAGAGGUGAAAUUCUUGGAUUUAUUGAAGACUAACUACUGCGAAAGCAUUUGCCAAGGAUGUUUUCAUUAAUCAAGAACGAAAGUUAGGGGAUCGAAGACGAUCAGAUACCGUCGUAGUCUUAACCAUAAACUAUGCCGACUAGGGAUCGGAUGAUGUUAAUUUUUUAAUGACUCAUUCGGCGCCUUACGGGAAAC